CGGGGAGGGAAGGCCUAAUUGGCACAAUGAUUAAAAUUCCCGCAGGAGGGCGAAAAGAAGGCGCCGCUAAUCGUACCAGGGGUUUUGCACGUGCCUGUCCAUAGGAGUGCUGUCCCAUGUGCCUAUUUAACACCUUCAUGCUGCUGUCUGGGGAGGGAGAAGCAGACACGUUCCUACCCAAACUAGGGGGGCUCUGUGAGGUUGGGGUGCAAGCAGGGCUCCGUCAGGGUGUCCUGGGCUGGCACACCUGCAGCAUCUAUGAGGAUCCCCUAUGAAACCACACCCCUUGAAUAAUUCCUUUCCCCUGCUUUGCACGGCAUGGCCCACCUUUCUGAUCUCUCCAUCCAUCAGUUUAAAACAUUUUCAUUUUACUUUCAGGCUCCGCUUGUCCUGAAGUGAACCUUUCCUCCUAGGCUUGGAUACCCACUUUUCUGAGACCCAUCUCCUCCAUGUGGCAUAUGGACCCAACUGAGCUGUCUGCAGCAGUAGACAUCACUUCACUGGUGCAGUGUAACAGUUCUCCACUACUGCAAAGCCAGCAAAGGGCUUUAUCAUAUUUGGGUCUGUGGAAAAAAAUGCAUUUCGUAGCUACAGGCUUGCCGACUGAUCACCAGACUAUGGCUGACCCUGGUCAUCGUCACUGGACCUGCUCCGCUUUACUUGUUGAGGUACUGUGAGAAAGCACCUUGUUGAUGAGGAAACAGCCCCUGUCUGCCUUGCUGUGAUCUUCAGCCUCUGGCUCACCUGUUGUAGAGAAGGCUGCUCCUGCUGCUUCCCAGGGAUGCCAAGGUGCAUGAAUAAGAAAGGAAGAAGUGCUGCAUGCUUGGGUUUCACCCAAAUCAAGAGCUGGACGUGGCUGGUCAGAGACCUCAGAACUAGUCCUGGCUCUGAUAAUUUUGGCAUUCUCAGAAUCAAGCGAAACAAAGAUGCAGUCGGGUAGGUUUGCAAGUAGAAUGUAAUUAAGAAAUGUCAUGACAAGCAGAACUGCAAGCCUGUAGUGAACCACUUGAAUUGUAAAUGAGCCUUGGUUGGUAGAGAAUGCAGGCAAAGCUGCAAACUUCUUCCCACUUUGUGCUGGGUAUUAAGAUGUGGAUACUCAAG
rnacentral:lncRNA from 1 species